rnacentral:rRNA from 1 species
ACGGAGGGGGUUAGCGUUGUUCGGAAUUACUGGGCGUAAAGCGUACGUAGGCGGAUUGGAAAGUAAGAGGUGAAAUCCCAGGGCUCAACCCUGGAACUGCCUUUUAAACUCCCAGUCUUGAGUUCGAGAGAGGUGAGUGGAAUUCCGAGUGUAGAGGUGAAAUUCGUAGAUAUUCGGAGGAACACCAGUGGCGAAGGCGGCUCACUGGCUCGAUACUGACGCUGAGGUACGAAAGUGUGGGGAGCAAACAGG